rnacentral:rRNA from 1 species
GACAGAGGCCUCAAGCGUUAGGCGGAAUCACUGGGCUUAAAGCGUGUGUAGGUGGAUGCCUAAGUACCUUGUGAAAUCCCACGGCUUAACCGUGGAAUGGCUGGGUAUACUGGGUGUCUUGAGCCACUCAGGGGCUACCGGAACAAAUGGUGGAGCGGUGAAAUGCGUAGAUAUCAUUUGGAACGCCAAUGGUGAAAACAGGUAGCUGGGGGUGUGCUGACACUGAGACACGAAAGCCAGGGGAGCAAACGGG